GUGGGGAAUAUUGGGCAAUGGAGGCAACUCUGACCCAGCCAUGCCGCGUGCAGGAUGACGGCCCUCUGGGUUGUAAACUGCUUUUAUACGGGAAGAAAAAAUACUACGUGUAGUAUACUGACGGUACCGUAAGAAUAAGGAUCGGCUAACUCCGUGCCAGCAGCCGCGGUAAUACGGAGGAUCCAAGCGUUGUCCGGAUUUAUUGGGUUUAAAGGGUGCGUAGGCGGAUCUUUAAGUCAGUGGUGAAAGCCUGCAGCUUAACUGUAGAAUUGCCAUUGAAACUGAAGAUCUUGAAUGUGGUUAAAGUAGGCGGAAUGUAUCAUGUAGCGGUGAAAUGCUUAGAUAUGAUACAGAACACCGAUAGCGAAGGCAGCUUGCUGAACCAUUAUUGACGCUGAGGCACGAAAGCGUGGGGAGCGAACAGGAUUAGAAACCCCGGUAGUCC
rnacentral:rRNA from 1 species